AGUGAACGCUGGCGGUAGGCCUAACACAUGCAAGUCGAACGGCAGCACAGUAAGAGCUUGCUCUUACGGGUGGCGAGUGGCGGACGGGUGAGGAAUACAUCGGAAUCUACUUUUUCGUGGGGGAUAACGUAGGGAAACUUACGCUAAUACCGCAUACGACCUACGGGUGAAAGCAGGGGAUCUUCGGACCUUGCGCGAUUGAAUGAGCCGAUGUCGGAUUAGCUAGUUGGCGGGGUAAAGGCCCACCAAGGCGACGAUCCGUAGCUGGUCUGAGAGGAUGAUUAGCCACACUGGAACUGAGACACGGUCCAGACUCCUACGGGAGGCAGCAGUGGGGAAUAUUGGACAAUGGGCGCAAGCCUGAUCCAGCCAUACCGCGUGGGUGAAGAAGGCCUUCGGGUUGUAAAGCCCUUUUGUUGGAAAAGAAAAGCAGCAGGUUAAUACCCCGCUGUUCUGACGGUACCCAAAGAAUAAGCACCGGCUAACUUCGUG
rnacentral:rRNA from 1 species